UACCUGCAGCUCAAGUGGUGACCGCUAUUAUUGGGCCUAAAACGUUCGUAGCCGGUUUAGUAAAUGCCUGGGUAAAUCGUGUAGCUUAACUAUACGAAUUCCGGGUAGACUGCUAAACUUGAGACCGGGAGAGGCUAGAGGUACUCCUGGGGUAGAGGUGAAAUUCUGUAAUCCUGGGGGGACCACCAGUGGCGAAGGCGUCUAGCUAGAACGGGUCUGACGGUGAGGAACGAAGCCCUGGGGCACAAACCGGAUUAGAUACCCGGGUAGUCCAGGGUGUAAACGCUGCUUGCUUGAUGUUAGUUGGGCUCCGAGCCCAACUAGUGUCGGAGAGAAGUUGUUAAGCAAGCUGCCUGGGAAGUACGGUCGCAAGACUGAAACUUAAAGGAAUUGGCGGGGAGCACAGCAACGGGUGGAGCGUGCGGUUU
rnacentral:rRNA from 1 species